GGCCAGGCUAGUCUUGACCUCCUCAAGUGAUCCGCCUGCCUCGGCCUCCCAAAGUAUUGUGAUUAAAGGUAGGAGCCACCAUGCCCAGCCCAGAGGCACUUUUCAAAAGACAGAUCUGGACCCCCCCACCCCGUCACCCUCUGCCUAAAACUCAGGCAGGAUGACCACAUGGCCGGCCUCACACUGCUGCUCCUACAGAACUGUGAAUGGCGCCCUGUUAUACUAGAAGAAAUGACCCAGCUCGGACAGUGCACCAUGUGGUCACUCACCUCUUAGGAAGAAAGCCAGCACCCUCACCUGUGCCCUCAGGCCUGGCCCCGAGCCCUGUUGCCUCCCGUCCCAGCUGCAGGGGCCUCUUUCAGGUCCUCGGGUGUGUCAGCUCCCUCUGCUCCCUUGGCCUGGGGCCUCUUUUCUCUUCUUUCCUGUCUGUAGUUCCUAUGCAUCCCAUCUCCAUGCAGGUUCGUAUCCUUGGGGGAUGUGACCUGACCCUCUGCAGAGCCACGUUCCCCUCCUGGUAGCACCUCCGAAUCACAAAGUAUUCACUGAAUGCGUGCACGGACGAUGGCGGAGCAGAGCUGGGUGCUGGCUUCUGGCAGCCCGGGCCUGAUACUCAGCAGAUGUUCCUUUUCUUUUCCACCCUGCCUCAUAGCUGCCAUGUCCUUUCCCUCCUGCCCCCUGACACCAGUAGUGUGCCCUGACCCAGCUGCCCUGACGUGGCAUUCCCGGGGCAUAGCUCGGGAGCAGAGCAGACAAGAGCUCGCGCUUUCAUCACUCCGGAGGUCAGAGUGUCGGUGCCAAGGUUCUGCUGGGUGUGAGGCAAAACGCCCCUCAAAGCAGCUUCCAUGAAAUGGGAGUUCAGCAGGAGAGCCCUGGGGUGUCCCUGGAGGGCUGUGAGCAGCAGGGAACCCCGGGCCCCUACUCUGCAGCACCUUCUUUGCACCCUGCUCUGUGGUGUCCUGUGUGGGUCUGGCACGCCUCUCCCCAAAUCCAAGUUUAUGUCUCCAUUCAGGCGCUCCCCUCCUAGAUGGAGACAGUGUCUCAUUCCAGCUCCACGUUCCUGGUGGGGAGACCAGGGCCCCGGGUCAGUGGUCCCGGUCGAUGAGUGGACAUCGCUGCCGGCUCCCAUGUUCAGCAGAAGCGACUUCAGCGUGUGGACCAUCCUGAAGAAGUGUGUUGGCCUGGAGCUGUCCAAGAUCACGAUGCCAAUCGCCUUCAACGAGCCUCUGAGCUUCUUGCAGCGGAUCACGGAGUACAUGGAGCACGUGUACCUCAUCCACAGGGCCUCCUGCCAGCCCCAGCCCCUGGAGAGGAUGCAGUCUGUGGCUGCUUUUGCUGUUUCGGCUGUGGCUUCCCAGUGGGAGAGGACCGGCAAACCAUUUAAUCCACUCUUGGGAGAAACGUAUGAAUUAAUCAGGGAAGAUUUAGGAUUCAGAUUUAUAUCGGAACAGGUCAGUCACCACCCCCCCAUCAGUGCGUUCCACUCGGAAGGUCUCAACCAUGACUUCCUGUUCCACGGCUCCAUCUACCCCAAGCUCAAGUUCUGGGGCAAAAGCGUGGAGGCGGAGCCCCGAGGCACCAUCACCCUGGAGCUGCUCAAACAUAAUGAAGCCUACACCUGGACCAACCCCACCUGCUGCGUCCACAACGUCAUCAUCGGGAAGCUGUGGAUAGAGCAGUAUGGGACAGUGGAGAUUUUAAACCACAGAACCGGACAUAAGUGUGUGCUUCACUUUAAACCGUGUGGAUUAUUUGGAAAAGAACUUCACAAGGUGGAAGGACACAUUCAAGACAAAAACAAAAAGAAGCUCUUUAUGAUCUAUGGCAAAUGGACGGAAUGUUUGUGGGGCAUAGAUCCUGUUUCGUAUGAAUCCUUCAAGAAGCAGGAGAGGAGAGGUGACCACCUGAGAAAGGCCAAGCUGGGUGUAGAGAGCCUGAAACCCCCACACAGGAGCCACUUCUUGAUGGGGGCAAAGCUGCGCUAUCUAGAAAGCUCUCAGUCCCAGAACCUGCCUUCUGGAGAGGCGCCGUGUGUGUGAAUGAACCUGCUGUUUGGAAGGCACCGCUGUGUCGUCGCACUCAGACUCCAUGAAGCGCUGUUUCGCGUGCACCGCUUCUCCCGAAGGGAAACACGCCUGGCCACUGACUUCCUUCAUCUCCAUGAAGGGAAACGCCUGGCCACUGACUUCCUUCGUCUCUGCGAAGGGAGACGCCUGGCCACUGACCUCUUGUCGUCACCCGAAGGGAAACACGCCUGGCCGCUGACCUCUGUCGUCUCCGCUCUGGGUGUCCGUUAGAACAGACAGCACAGCCCCACGAAGGGAGUGUGAGCUGCUUUAGGGACUGGGGCCCAGCUCCUCUCCGUACAGUGAUGGACAGACAGUGUCAUAGACUGGAGAGGAAAUUCGAUUUUCUCCUUAGUUUAAGAAAAAAAAGGCCGGGUGUGGUGGCUUACACCUGUAAUCUCAGCACUUUGGGAGGCCGAGGUGGGUGGAUUGCCUGAGGUCAGGAUUUCAAGACCAGCCUGGCUAACAUAGUGAAACCCCGUCUCUACUAAAAGUACAAACAAUUAGCCGGGCAUGGUAUUGGGCGCCUGUAAUUCCAGCUACUCGGGAGGCUGAGGCAGGAGAAUCUCUUGAACUCAGGAGGCAGAGGUUGCGGUGACCCGAGAUCGCACCACUGCACUCCAGCCUGGGCCACAGAGCGAGACUCCGUCUGAAAAAAAAAAAAAGGAGAAGGCUGCCUGGCUCUGCUCAGGUGACUGGUCUGAAAGGCGCUCUGAGAAUAGCUGUCCUCCUGGCCAAGAGCGGCCUGGCCCCGGGCAGCCACACAGCAGGGUUCUGUGUUUCAGGAUGAAGACUCCGGGAAGGCUGACAGCGACGUGGCUGACGACGUGCCUGUGGCCCAGGAGACUGUGCAGGUCAUUCCCGGCAGCAAGCUGCUGUGGAGGAUCAACACCCGGCCCCCCAACUCUGCCCAGAUGUAUAAUUUCACCAGUUUCACUGUGAGCCUCAACGAGCUGGAGACAGGCAUGGAGAAGACCCUGCCACCCACGGACUGCCGCCUGCGCCCUGACAUCCGCGGCAUGGAGAAUGGCAACAUGGAUCUGGCCAGCCAGGAGAAGGAGCGGCUGGAGGAGAAGCAGAGAGAAGCACGGAGGGAGCGGGCCAAGGAGGAGGCGGAGUGGCAGACGAGGUGGUUCUACCCAGGCAAUAACCCCUACACUGGGACCCCCGACUGGUUGUAUGCAGGGGAUUACUUUGAGCGGAAUUUCUCCGACUGCCCAGAUAUCUACUGAGGGCCUGGAGGGGCCUGGGGCCCGGGACCGGAGGCUGACGAGGCUGGACUUCCUCGAGUGGCCACUCUGAGCCUCAUCACGGCAGAAACCAACUUUUCUAACGACUGAGUUCGCGGAGAUAGCAUCAUCCCUGAUCAAGGAUGUAAUUCUAAUUAACUGUUGAUUGCCAAACAUUUCACUCUGCUGUGCCGUCUCUUCAUAAAGCUUCACUUGGGAUCAUCGUCUUCAUUAAGGUUUCAACAAGGAAAUUCUUCACGGCGCCCUUUUAUGUGGCAGAAAUCAGCUGGGGCUUGUUUAGCUUCCAGCACACUCUCAGUCAUAGCAUGUGUAGCUAAAGGAAGUAAUGGGAAGGGGUUCAUGUUCUCUUUAUAAUGCAGUGGCAAAAGGUUCUGAAAGUCUUUUAAACUCGAACCAGUGGGGGAAAGAUGGAUCUUGAAACUAAUCCUGCAGAGAGUUUUAUAAAGGCCAGGGAUUGCCUUCUAAAUUAUGAUAAAACAGAAGUGAAGAGUUUCAGAGCAUCAGAUUGAGUGAAAAGUUGUCAGAUUCUGUAUUUUUUAACAAUCUUCAAUAAUGUAAAGAUUACUUUUAAAAUAUUUAAGUUAAAACUACUUGAAUAGUAUUUUGCUGAAGAGCAAGAUAUGCAUUAAUCACCGGUUUUAUACUGUCCAAAAUGAAGCAUCCCCGUGACAAACCAGAGUGGGCAGAAGCAUCGAGCGCGUGACAGGAAAUCCCAAGACUGCUUCCGCCUCAGAGGCGUCCCGGCUGCGACUCGCUGCCCUGUUGUCAGUGAGGCCUGGCUGUCACCGCACACCGUGUCCGUGUCUCCAGGGGGUUCAUUUCUUCUCACACGUCGCGUGUACCCAUAGCACUCUUGUGUUUCUGUUUUUCCCAGUAUGCAUGUUUAAAAUAGAAGUGACAAGAAUCACAUCCGGUUGUGUGCUGUGGGAGGGUCAGAGGCAGAAUCUACUUACAGUGGUGUAAUUAAAGUUAUUGAACCAAAAAUAGGUAUGUGUCCAUCUCAGCAUUCACCUUUAUCAAGUGACUGAUUUUUUUUUCUUUUCUUUCCUUUUUUUUUUUUUUUUUGAGAUGGAGUUUCACUCUUGUUGCCCAGGCUGGAGUGCAAUGGCAUGAUCUCGGCUCACCGCAACCUCCGCCUCCCGGGUUCAAGCGAUUCUCCUGCCUCAGCCUCCCGAGUAGCUGGGAUUACAGGCACGCGCCACCACGCCUGGCUGAUUUUGUAUUUUUAGUAGACACGGGGUUUCACCAUGUUGGUCAGGCUGGUCUCAAACUCCCGACCUCAAGUAGUCUGCCUGCCUCAACCUCCCAAAGUGCUGGGAUUACAGGCGUGAGCCACUGCGCCUGGCCGUGACUGAUUUUUUUUCAUGUAGAAUUGUCAACACGAGAGAUCACAGUGGAGCACUUUGAAAGACCGUCGGUUGUGUGCACGCACGCACGCACUCAUGCACACGCUGACACGCGGUUGCAUGGAGUCCAGGUUACUCAGGCCGGCACUUUUGAGUGACAGGUGCCACCUGCGUGUGUCUUGGCGUCCACAUCACACCUGCGACGGAAGCACUUCUGGAAGUGAACACUCGUUUUGAAAGCUUGAUUUUGUAGCUUUGGAAGCUGGAAGCGAUGGUGUUUGGUGCCGAGUCCUGUGUCAUCCUCGGGGCCUAUGAGCUCCGUACCAGCCACUCAAAAGUGUCUGAACAGAACCGCUCCGUGACUGGUAGCUGGGUCUGAGGAUUCAGGAUUGUGGCGUUAUUCAAAGAGGAGACUUUGCAAUUCCCCGAUGGCUGGAAUGUGGAGCCCAGGUGCCUCUGGUGGAGGGUCAUCUGCUUUUCCAGACUGUGGUUGUGAACCGGCUCCUUCUCCAAGAAAGACUGCAAGCUGAGAACAUCCAGAGGUGAGACUCAGACACAUUGAAAGUGACUGCAUUUAGGGAGGUUUAACAAGUUCUUACUGAUCAUUCCACUUGUUACUGGUUAAGAUAAUUUGCCCACGGGUUUGUUUCCAAGUCCUCUUCUAGGACCAGGCUCCUGGUAUUUCAGGGGCUGGUUGGCUGCACAGACAGCCCCUCUUCUGCUGUCCUUGAGGACAGACACCAAACCAGAGGUGGAGGAAGAACAGUAGGAAGGCUGAUGGUGAAAGCGGCUGUGUGUCGAGGUGACUUUAACUUUUUACUACUUUUUGUUACUGUUUCUGCAAAUGCUAACACAUAAACUAUGACCUAACUUUUGUCACCUUGGAUAUCUAUUGAAUGUUAAACAUCUCUAAUAAAGAUGGCCACCACUUAA